rnacentral:SRP_RNA from 1 species
GCUGAGCAUGGUGGCUCAUGCCUGUAAUCCCAGCACUUUGGGAGGCCGAGGCAGGUGGAUCACCUGAGGUCAGGAGUUCAAGACCAGCCUGACCAAUUUGUUGAAACCCUGUCUCUACCAAAAUAAUAAAUAAAUAAAUCAAUAAAUAUUAGCCANNNNNNNNNNUGGCUAAUAUUUAUUGAUUUAUUUAUUUAUUAUUUUGGUAGAGACAGGGUUUCAACAAAUUGGUCAGGCUGGUCUUGAACUCCUGACCUCAGGUGGUCUGCCUGCUUU